AUGGCCAUGGAGGUGGCUCUUGUUAGCAUGGCGACAGGGGUCCUCAAGCCUGUCAUAGCGAAGCUGUUUGUUCUGCUCGGCAACGAGUACAAGCGUUUCAAGUCAGUUCGCAAGGAGAUCAAGUCCCUCGCUCAUGAGCUGGCUGCUAUGGAUCCUUUUCUCCUCAAGAUGUCGGAGGAGGAGGAUCCUGAUGUGCGGGAUAAGGUGUGGAUGAAUGAGGUGCGGGAGCUCUCCUAUGACUUGGACGAUGCCAUCGACGACUUCAUGCAGAGCAUAGGUGACAAAGACGAAAAGCCAGAUGGCUUCAUUGAGAAGAUCAAGAGCUCACUAGGGAAGCUGGGGAAGAUGAAGGCUCGCGGUCGGAUCGGGAGAGAGAUUCAGGAUCUGAAGAAACAGAUCGUUGAGGCGCGCAAUACAAAUGCAAGGUACAACGGUCGCCAGACCGUCAAUAACACACAAAAUGAUACCGUUAACCCUAGAGCUGUUGCUAUCUUUGAGCAUGCCUCAAAGCUCGUUGGGAUUGAUGGACCCAAGGCUGAGAUAAUCAAGCUAUUGGCACAAGAGGAUGGACGUGCGUCAACACAACAACGGAAGAUUGUCUCCAUCGUUGGAUCUGGAGGUAUGGGCAAGACAACUCUUGCAAAGCAAGUCUAUGAAGAACUCAAAGGAAAAUUCGAGAGACAUGCUUUCAUAUCCGUGUCGCGAAAUCCAGACAUUAUAAAUAUCCUAAGGGCUAUUCUUAGCGAACUUAGCGGUCAAGGUAAUGCUGACACAAUAGCAUGGAAUAUAGAACACAUGAUCUGCAAGAUCACCAAUUUCCUAGGAGACAAAAGGUACAUCAUUGUUGUUGACGAUCUAUGGGAUGUGAAAACAUGGAAUGAUUUGAAGUGUGUGUUCCCCGUGACUAGUUCUGGCAGUAUAAUAAUCACCACUACUCGUAUUAAUGAGGUUGCAGAUUCAUGUUUGUCAUCAUGUCAUGGUCAUAUUUAUAAUAUAAGGCAUCUUGAUAUGGUGCAUUCGAGGGAACUUUUUAACAUAAGGUUGUUCGAUUCCAGUGAAAAUUGCCCUUCACACCUUGAAAAAGUUUCUGGGGAAAUUUUGGAAAAAUGUGUUGGUUUACCUUUGGCAAUCAUUUCUAUAUCUGGUUUGUUGGCUACCAAAGAAAGAACAGAGAAUCAGUGGAAUCAAGUGAAAGAUUCAAUUGGUCGUGCACUUGAAAGGAAUCCUAGCAUUGAAGGAAUGAUGAAGAUAUUGUCACUUAGUUACUUUGAUCUACCUUCUCAUCAGAAAACUUGUCUCCUGUAUCUGAGUAUUUUUCCUGAAGAUUCUAUAAUUGAGAAGAAAGCUCUUAUAUGGAGAUGGAUUGCUGAGGGGUUCAUUCAGAAAGAUGACAAAUAUACAUCAUACCAGUUAGGAGAGAGGUGUUUCAAUGAGCUCCUGAAUAGGCGUUUGAUCCAAGUUGCAUGGACGACAGAAGAAUAUGGUAAGGUGGAGAGUUGUCGAGUUCAUGACGUAAUACUUGAUUUCAUCAUAUCCAAGGCCAUUGAAGAGAAUUUUGUUACUUUUGUUGGUGUCCCUUGUAUAACCAGUGGGACACAAAGAAAAGUUCGUCGUCUCCCUCUCCAAGUUGAUGGGAAAGAUCAUUCUAUAUUAAAGAAAGGCCUGGUGUUGUCUCAUGUCCGCUCAGUAAAUGUUUUUGGGUAUACAGUGGAAAUCCCUUCUCUGGAUGAGUUCAGAUAUUUGCGAGUUCUGGACUUUGAGCUUUGCCGCCAAGUGGAAAACCACCAUCUUGCAAAUAUAGGGAACUUGUUUCAGUUGAGGCACCUGAACCUGAGUUGGACGGAAGUAAGUGAGCUCCCGGAAGAAAUCGGCCGUCUAUAUUGCUUAGAGAUGCUGGACAUAAGAGGCACCAAAGUACAUGAAUUACCAGCAACUAUUGUUAAUCUUAAGAAUUGGUGGAUCUGCUUGUUGAUACUAGAGUUAAGUUUCCUAAUGGAAUUGCAAAGAUGCAAGCAAUGGAGAUGUUAG
rnacentral:rRNA from 1 species